rnacentral:rRNA from 1 species
AGCGAACGCUGGCGGCAGGCUUAACACAUGCAAGUCGAACGCCCCGCAAGGGGAGUGGCAGACGGGUGAGUAACGCGUGGGAAUCUACCUAGUUCUACGGAACAACAGUUGGAAACGACUGCUAAUACCGUAUACGCCCUACGGGGAAAGAUUUAUCGGUAAUUAGAUGAGCCCGCGUAAGAUUAGCUAGUUGGUGAGGU